CGGUAAUUCCAGCUCCAAUAGCGUAUACUAAAGUUGUUGCAGUUAAAAAGCUCGUAGUUGGAUUUCUGCGGGGACGGAGCGGCCGGUCGCAACUUGCGACUCGAGCUAGCGCUUUCCCCGCAUCCUGCCGCGAACCGUGCUACCAUUAGUUUGGUGGCGCUGGGGAUCGGCUCGAUUACUUUGAGAAAAAUAGAGUGUUCAAAGCAGGCCACACGCCUUGAAUAAGUUAGCAUGGAAUAAUGACUAAGGACUUUGGUUCUUUUCGUUGGUGUUCGGGACUGAAGUAAUGAUUGAUAGGGACAGUUGGGGCGGUCCGUAUUCCAAAGCGAGAGGUGAAAUUCUUAGACCUUCGGAAGACGAACAGCUGCGAAAGCGUUCCGCAAGGAUGUUCCCUUUGAUCAAGAACGAAAGUUGGGGGAUCGAAGACGAUCAGAUACCGUCGUAGUCUCAACUAUAAACUAUACCAGCUAGGGAUCGGCCAACGUUUAAUUAUUCGACUUGGUCGGCACCUUAUGAGAAAUCAAAGCAUCUGGGUUCCGGGGGGAGUAUGGUCGCAAGGCUGAAACUUAAAGGAAUUGACGGAAGGGCACCACCAGCCGUGGAGCCUGUGGCUUAAUUUGACUCAACACGGGAAAACUUACCAGGUCCGGACAUAGUAAGGAUUGACAGAUUGAUAGCUCUUUCUUGAUUCUGUGGGUGGUGGUGCAUGGCCGUUUUUAGUCGGUGGAUGUGAUCUGUCUGCUUAAUUGCGUUAACGGACGAGACCCCAGCCUGCUAAAUAGCGCGGCCGAGCUUUGCUCGGUGCGAGCUUCUUAGAGGGACCAUGGUGCGCGAUAGCACAAGGAAGUUUGGGGCAACAACAGGUCUGUGAUGCCCUUAGAUGUUCUGGGCCGCACACGGGCUACACUGGCGCCUGCAACGAGCAUAUCAGCUGGCCCGAGAGGGUCUUGGCUAAUCUUUGGAACCGGCGCCGUGCUUGGGAUUGACCAUUGCAAUUGUUGGUCAUGCAACGAGGAAUGCCUUGUAAACGCGAGUCAUCAGCUCGCAUUGAAUACGUCCCUGCCCUUUGUACACACCGCCCGUCGCUCCUGCCGAUGAAUGUUCCGAUGAAAUUUUCGGAGAGCGCCGGAGAACGGGGCUCCGCCCUGCAGAACUGGAGGCUCAAAGUCACUUAAAUCUGAACAUUUCGAGGAAGGAGAAGUCGUAACAAGGUAGCCG
rnacentral:rRNA from 1 species